AUUGCUGACGUCAUGACGCAUAAGCCUGUCUGGAACUUUCUGCUCGACCGCCAUUUUCUUUUUCGCACUCGGAUGAAUAAGCUUUUUCAAGUUUGACGAUUGAGGACGACACUUUGCUAUAACAUUACAUGACUGAAAACAUUCACACGGAAAGAAGAGUGUCCUGAAGGCCCUCAUCGUUUUCCUGGGGAAAAAUCCGGUAACUCUUU